CCGGCCCCCGGCGAGGCUGGGCCUCGCCAGAUCUGGCGAGGCCGAGCCUCGCCGGUGGCUGG
rnacentral:pre_miRNA from 1 species